rnacentral:rRNA from 1 species
GACGUAGGGCGCGAGCGUUGUCCGGAUUUAUUGGGCGUAAAGAGCUCGUAGGCGGCUCGUUGCGUCGGCUGUGAAAACCCGCAGCUCAACUGUGGGCUUGCAGCUGAUACGGGCGGGCUGGGAUUCGGUAGGGGAGACUGGAAUUCCUGGUGUAGCGGUGAAAUGCGCAGAUAUCAGGAGGAACACCGGUGGCGAAGGCGGGUCUCUGGGCAGUAACUGACGCUGAGGAGCGAAAGCGUGGGGAGCGAACAGG